CCUACGGGUGGCAGCAGUGAGGAAUCUUGGUCAAUGGACGAGAGUCUGAACCAGCCAAGUAGCGUGAAGGAUGACUGCCCUAUGGGUUGUAAACUUCUUUUAUAUGGGAAUAAAACGUUCCACGUGUGGGAUUGUGUAUGUACCGUAUGAAUAAGGAUCGGCUAACUCCGUGCCAGCAGCCGCGGUAAGACGGAGGAUCCGAGCGUUAUCCGGAUUGAUUGGGUUUAAAGGGAGCGUAGGUGGAUUGUUAAGUUAGUUGUGAAAGUUUGCGGCUCAACCGUAAAAUUGCAGUUGAAACUGGGAGUCUUGAGUACAGUAGAGGAGGGCGGAAUUCGUGGUGUAGCGGUGAAAUGCUUAGAUAUCACGAAGAACUCCGGUUGCGAAGGCAGUUCACUGGACUGCAACUGACACUGAGGCUCGAAAGUGUGGGUAUCAAACAGGAUUAGAUACCCGAGUAGUC
rnacentral:rRNA from 1 species